AGCCCGCUCAGAAACUCAAAGGAAUUGACGGGGGCCCGCACAAGCGGAGGAACAUGUGGUUUAAUUCGAUGAUACGCGAGGAACCUUACCUGGGCUCAAAUGUAUGUUGACGUAUUCUGAAAGGGAUACUUCUUCGGACAAUAUACAAGGUGCUGCAUGGUUGUCGUCAGCUCGUGCCGUGAGGUGUCGGGUUAAGUCCCAUAACGAGCGCAACCCCUACCUUUAGUUGCCAUCAGGUAAUGCUGGGGACUCUAAAGGAACUGCCUACGCAAGUAGUGAGGAAGGCGGGGAUGACGUCAAGUCAUCAUGGCCCUUAUGUCCAGGGCGACACACGUGCUACAAUGGCCGGCACAACGGGAAGCGAGUUCGCGAGGACAAGCGGAUCCCUUAAAGCCGGUCGCAGUUCGGAUUGAAGUCUGCAACUCGACUUCAUGAAGCUGGAAUCGCUAGUAAUCGUGGAUCAGCCAAGCCGCGGUGAAUACGUUCCCGGGCCUU
rnacentral:rRNA from 1 species